AUUCUCAGGGCGGAGGAGGAAUACUGGCGCCGUAGGGGUGGUGUCAAGUGGGUAGUGAAAGGUGAUGCAAACACAGGAUACUUUCACGCUUACGCUAAUGGUCGCAAACGGAAGAGCACUAUCCUUAGGCUCCAAUCAGAACGUGGGACGCUGAUAUCUCAGAACGAUAUAGCGAAGUACAUCUAUAGCUUCUUCAUUGAGCUGUUGGGAACAGCUGAGGUGAAAAACCUAAGUCUUAGGGCAGACUUUUGGGGCAUGCACGAACGAGUCUCACAGCAGGAAAACGACGCCCUUAUGGUGUCCUUUUCGGCCCAGGAGAUUGAUUGCGCGCUUGCGGGUAUGAAGAACGACACGGCCCCAGGGCCUGAUGGCUGGCCGGUGGAGUUUUUCAAGCGCUUCUGGCCGCUGCUUAGGGACUUAUUCCAAGCGAUCAUAAACGGCUUCGCCCUAGGUACGGUUGACCUGUCUCGUCUGAAUUACGGGGCCAUCUGCCUAAUCCCCAAGGUCAAAGGGGCAGAAGCUAUUACACAGUUUCGGCCGAUUACGCUC
rnacentral:rRNA from 1 species